GUCGAACGGGAUAGAACUUAGCAAUAGGUUCUUGAGAGUGGCGCACGGGUACGUAACACGUAUGCAACCUACCUUUAACUGGGGGAUAGCCUCUCGAAAGAGAGAUUAAUACCCCAUAGUAUGAUUAGAGAGCAUUUUCUGAUUAUUAAAGAUUUAUCGGUUAAAGAUGGGCAUGCGGCUGAUUAGGUAGUUGGUGAGGUAAUGGCUCACCAAGCCAACGAUCAGUAGGGGGUCUGAGAGGAUGUCCCCCCACACUGGUACUGAGACACGGACCAGACUCCUACGGGAGGCAGCAGUAGGGAAUAUUGGACAAUGGGGGCAACCCUGAUCCAGCCAUUCCGCGUGCAGGAAUAAGGCCCUAUGGGUCGUAAACUGCUUUUGUAUGGGAAAAAAUCAUCUUACGUGUAGGGUGUUGAUGGUACCAUGAGAAUAAGGAUCGGCUAACUUCGUGCCAGCAGCCGCGGUAAUACGAAGGAUCCAAGCGUUGUCCGGAUUUACUGGGUUUAAAGGGUGCGUAGGCGGGGAAUUAAGUCAGUGGUGAAAGCUGGUAGCUCAACUAUCAAAUUGCCAUUGAAACUGAUUCUCUCGAGUACGGUUGAGGUAGCUGGAAUGUAACAUGUAGCGGUGAAAUGCUUAGAUAUGUUACAGAACACCGAUUGCGAAGGCAGGCUACUAAACCGUAACUGACGCUGAGGCACGAAAGCGUGGGGAUCAAACAGGAUUAGAUACCCUGGUAGUCCACGCUGUAAA
rnacentral:rRNA from 1 species